GAUGAACGCUGGCGGCGUGCCUAAUACAUGCAAGUCGAGCGAACAGACCAGGAGUUUGCUCCUCUGACGUUAGCGGCGGACGGGUGAGUAACAUGUGUAUAACCUCCCUAUAAGACUGGGAUAAUUUCGGCAAACCGGAGCUAAUACCGGAUAAUUUAUUGCACCGCAUUGGUCAAUAGUUAAAGACGGUUUUUCUGUCACUAAUAGAUGGAUCCGCGCCCCAUUAGCUAGUGGGUGAGGGAACGGCUUAGCAAGGCAACGAUGCGUAGCCGACCUCGGCGGGUGGUUAGCGACACUGGAAGUGAGACUCGGACCAGACACCUACGGGAGGGCGCAGUAGAGAAUCUUCCGCGAUGGACGAGAGUGUAACAGAGCAACACGGCGAGAGUGCUGAAGGACUUCGGCUCGUAAAGCUAUGUUGUCCGUGAAGAACAAAUGUGUAAGUAACUAUGCACGUCUUGACGGUACCGGAUGAAUAAGCCACGGCUAACUACGUG
rnacentral:rRNA from 1 species